UAUUACUUUGUCAACAUUCACACUGAAAUCCCGAUGAAUAUGCAGUAAUGCUAUGUAACUUUCGUUGUUCAUUGUUGAUCGUACAUUUGUUUUCAAUUACAUACGUAGUACCGUGACUGAUAGAUCUCAGGACCAUCAUGGCAUGUACGUAGCACUCGCGAGAUGUUAUAAACCAGCGUACGUGUUCGGCAUCGGGCGACCUCCCAAUUGAAUUCUUCAAAAUUACAUGCUAGGUCAGUUUCGUAUGUUUCAAUAUUGAGAUUUGUUCGUUUGUGAUAUUUCCUACAACACGAUGAAGCAGAUACAGCACAAAGAAGCGAUUUUCUGAUAACUUGACGCGACUCCACUCUCCAGUUGCCUUAUCAUAUGGUCUAUGAACGCAAAAAAAAUGAGACUUUCCAAUACUGUUUUGGCGUGGUUGCAGGGUGAUUGGCUCCGGUAGUCUGUCAACCACAUCGCCUCGGCAUAUUUUCAACGAUAUCGAAGGGGUCUGAUAAUUCUAAUGCCGAGUGGUACAUCUCAUUCCAAACUGAUGAACUGUACACUGUAAAAUGUGCUCCAAAACUACAUAUCUUAGACUGAGUAUUACAAAUUCAAAAGUAAAAAUCUUGUAAAAGAUACAAGUAAG
rnacentral:lncRNA from 1 species